rnacentral:rRNA from 1 species
UACGGGGGGAGCAAGCGUUGUUCGGAUUUACUGGGCGUAAAGGGCGCGUAGGCGGCCACCGCAAGUCGACUGUGAAAUCUCCGGGCUUAACCCGGAAAGGUCAGCCGAUACUGCGGGGCUAGAGUGCAGAAGGGGCAAUCGGAAUUCUUGGUGUAGCGGUGAAAUGCGUAGAUAUCAAGAGGAACACCUGAGGUGAAGACGGGUUGCUGGGCCGACACGUGACGCUGAGUGCGCGAAAGCCAGGGGAGCAAACGGG